GGGCUGGAGCUCAGUGGUAGAGCGCUCGCCUAGCAUGUGGGGGGAGGCCCUGGGUUUGAUUCUCAGCACCACA
rnacentral:tRNA from 1 species